rnacentral:rRNA from 1 species
CUGCUCAGUAACACGUGGACAACCUACCCUUGGGUCCGGCAUAAUCCUGGGAAACUGGGAAUAAUUCCGGAUAGGUCACCGAUGCUGGAAUGCGCGGUGGCCGAAAGCUCCGGCGCCCGAGGAUGGGUCUGCGGCCUAUCAGGGUUGUAGUGGGUGUAACGUACCUACUAGCCUACGACGGGUACGGGUUGUGAGAGCAAGAGCCCGGAGAUGGAUUCUGAGACACGAAUCCAGGCCCUACGGGGUGCAGCAGGCGCGAAAACUUUACAAUGCGGGAAACCGUGAUAAGGGAACCUCGAGUGCCUGUAUAUGCAGGCUGUCCAGGUGUCUAAAACACACCUGAAGAAAGGGCCGGGCAAGACCGGUGCCAGCCGCCGCGGUAACACCGGCGGCCCGAGUGGUAACCGCUAUUAUUGGGUCUAAAGGGUCUGUAGCCGGCCAAGUAAGUCCCUUGGGAAAUCUGGCAGCUUAACUGUCAGGCUGCCAGGGGAUACUGCUGGGCUUGGGACCGGGAGAGGUGAGAGGUACCUUGGGGGUAGGGGUGAAAUCUUGUGAUCCUCGAGGGACCACCAGUGGCGAAGGCGUCUCACCAGAACGGGUCCGACGGUAAGGGACGAAAGCUAGGGGCACGAACCGGAUUAGAUACCCGGGUAGUCCUAGCCGUAAACGAUGCUCGCUAGGUGUCAGUCACGGUGCGACCGUGAUUGGUGCCGUAGGGAAGCCGUGAAGCGAGCCACCUGGGAAGUAUGGCCGCAAGGCUGAAACUUAA